rfam:Acyrthosiphon pisum strain LSR1 Contig20024, whole genome shotgun sequence.
AAAAAGGCCCUUUUUAAGGGCCACCACAUUUUUAAGUUCAUAUAAUAU